CAACCUCAUCCACCACACUCAAAUCAUUACAAACAUCAACCCUAAACACCAUAUCCCUUUCCCCCUUCCCCUCCAAGUACACACUCUCAAACCCUAACAAGUGCUUCCUAGGCGCAUUAUGCACCGCCGGCGGCGUCGUGAACAGGAACACAGUGUGCCUCCCUGCCAUGUCGCCGGCGUUCUGCACUCGCAUACGGACGUCGACAGUGAGGUUCUGGCAUCCGCUGCCGGCGAGGUCGACCGACUUACAGGUUUGAGAGUAGCAGGAAUGGCCUUCGUCGAGGGCUAAGGAGACGAGCUCGGGGGCGUCGACGAGGGUGUGGCUGUAGUCGGUGUAGCUGAGGCCAUCGCCGAAGGAGUAGACGGUGUCGCCGGUGUAGAAGCGGUAGGUCCGACCGGGAUAGCCGGUGGUGGGAUCGGGCCUCAUGCGCAUGUCGGUCAUCGGGACGGAGUCCGCGAAGGACUGAGGGUACCACGUAACAGGGAGUCUCCCACAUGGAUUGUAUGCUCCAUAUACCAAGUCGGCGAUAGCCCCGCCGCCGGCCUCACCAGGGUACCCCACCCAAAGAAUGCUGGAAAUGUUGUCAUUGUUCUUGGCGAAAGUAAUGUCGAAGGGGCCACCGGACAUGAUAACGAGGAUCACCGGGCCCUUAGCCACCUUGGCUAUCUCAGUGAUGAGGAGCGUCUGCUGGCCAGGGAGAAGGAGACUGACUCGGUCUAAGCUCUCACGCUCAAUCGACUGGUCGGCACCGACGAUGAGGAUUGUAGCAUCGGCCUGUGCCGCUGCAGCCUUUGCGAGGUCCAGUUGGAGGCUGUUUCCGGCACAGCCGACGUCAGUGCAACCGGGGUGGUAGAGGGUAGAGGAGACUGAGGCUGCCAGGCCUUGGAGAGGCGAUGUAUAUUUGCAUGGUGUACCUUCAUAGUUUCCAAUCAUGGUCUUGGUCACAUUAGCAUUUGGUCCAAUAACAGCAAGUGAUUUGAGAGCUUGGGGGGAGAGAGGGAGAGCUCCUUUGAGGUUCUUGAGAAGCACAAUGCCCUGCCUAGCUGUCUCACGAGCCAGCUCCUGGUUCGCCGGAGUGCAGACGUCUGCCGGCCCUAAGCCGCCGUAAGGCGCCAGUUUCCGGGGAUCGCCGUCAAAGAAGCCCAACCUCAUGAGGGUGGCGAAGUUGUUGGUGAUGGCUCGGUUUAUGUCGGACUCGUUGAGCCUUCCGGCCUGAACGGCGGCCGGGGUGUGCUGGCUCAAGAAGGUUCCACAGUCGAGAUCAACACCAGCCAAGACAGAUAUUGCCGCAGCUUCUUCGGGUGUCUUUGUGUAAUGUUGGUCAUUAAAGAGAACGUCGAUAGAAUCACAAUCGGUGACGAUGUAACCAUUAAGGUUCCAGUCCCCUCUGAUGGUUCCAGCAAGAAGAUUUGGGUCUGCACAGCUGGGGAUCCCAUUAAUCUGGUUGUAGGAGCACAUGACGCUGGCCACAUUCCCAUCAACCACACAACUCUUGAAUGGAGGUUGGAAGGUAUCAUCCAUGUCCUGCUUUGUCACAAUGGCAUUGAAGGUGUAACGUUGUAUUCCUUUCCAAUUAUCGACAUCAUAAGCAGUGUAGUGCUUGCAGCAUGCAGCAACCUUCAGGUUGUCGGGCUCGUCGGCCUCCUGCAGCCCCCUGACAUAGCCGGCGGCAUACUUGCUAGACAGCAGUGGAUCCUCACCAGGAGUCUCUUGUCCUCUCCCCCAUCGCGGGUCUCGGAAAAUGUUGAUGUUGGGGCUCCAGAAUGUUAGACCAGCUAGGCCAACAUUGUGCAUGGCUCGAGCUUCAGUUGAGACUACCUUCCCAAUGGCUUCAAAGAGGGAGGUAUUGAAGGUGGCCGCGGUCAGGAUGGGCUGAGGAAAGCUAGUCGCCCCGGGGACCAAGCUCGAGAAAUGCGUCCCCGGGCCGACGUACGACACCCCGUGCAGCGCCUCCGACCACCACUCGUAGCUCGGGAUCCCGAGGCGUGGCACUGACCCAGCUUUGUUGACGAUGAAAGUGAUCUUCUCGGCCAGUGUGAGGCGCCCCACCAAAUCUUGUACCCUGGAUGCCCUAUCCAAUGUGGUAUCGCAGAAACCCAUGGCUUUGAGAGCGGGGUUGGUGACGACAUCGCAGGCGAAGAUUGGAGUAUCGGCGGCUGCCGGAGAUGUGAGGAAGAAGAGGAGGGGGAGGUAGAAGGAGAGAGAGAAGAGAGGGAUUUUCAUGG
rnacentral:misc_RNA from 1 species